CUAGAGUUUGAUCCUGGCUCAGAUUGAACGCUGGCGGCAGGCUUAACACAUGCAAGUCGAACGAUGAAACUCUAGCUUGCUAGAGAUGAUUAGUGGCGGACGGGUGAGUAACAUUUAGGAAUCUGCCUAGUAGUGGGGGAUAGCUCGGGGAAACUCGAAUUAAUACCGCAUACGACCUACGGGUGAAAGGGGGCGCAAGCUCUUGCUAUUAGAUGAGCCUAAAUCAGAUUAGCUAGUUGGUGGGGUAAAGGCCCACCAAGGCGACGAUCUGUAACUGGUCUGAGAGGAUGAUCAGUCACACCGGAACUGAGACACGGUCCGGACUCCUACGGGAGGCAGCAGUGGGGAAUAUUGGACAAUGGGGGCAACCCUGAUCCAGCCAUGCCGCGUGUGUGAAGAAGGCCUUUUGGUUGUAAAGCACUUUAAGCAGGGAGGAGAGGCUAAUGGUUAAUACCCAUUAGAUUAGACGUUACCUGCAGAAUAAGCACCGGCUA
rnacentral:rRNA from 1 species